rnacentral:tRNA from 1 species
AAUAAAUUGCCCGAUUUUAAGGAGUAUUUUGAUAAAAUAUAUAUACUCUAAAAGUAUUUAUUA